UGGUAAUGCCGGAUGCUCCAGCUGAUCGCAUGGUGUUCUGGGAAAGCCUUUGCGGCAUGGGAUGGGGUCGCGUCCUAUCAGCUUGAUGGCGGGGUAACGGCCCACCAUGGCUUCGACGGGUAGCCGGCCUGAGAGGGCGACCGGCCACAUUGGGACUGAGAUACGGCCCAGACUCCUACGGGAGGCAGCAGUGGGGAAUAUUGCACAAUGGGCGCAAGCCUGAUGCAGCGACGCCGCGUGAGGGAUGGAGGCCUUCGGGUUGUAAACCUCUUUUGUUAGGGAGCAAGGCAUUUUGUGUUGAGUGUACCUUUCGAAUAAGCACCGGCUAACUACGUGCCAGCAGCCGCGGUAAUACGUAGGGUGCAAGCGUUAUCCGGAAUUAUUGGGCGUAAAGGGCUCGUAGGCGGUUCGUCGCGUCCGGUGUGAAAGUCCAUCGCUUAACGGUGGAUCCGCGCCGGGUACGGGCGGGCUUGAGUGCGGUAGGGGAGACUGGAAUUCCCGGUGUAACGGUGGAAUGUGUAGAUAUCGGAAAAGAACACCA
rnacentral:rRNA from 1 species